GAAUUACGCGGGCGCCGUUGUGUAUCAGACGCCUUUACGACGUCUGGGCAAAAACUUCAUGGGAACUGUUCUUUAUCUUUUAUCGACAACUUCUCAAUAAAACUCACCGAGUCGACGGGAACGAGAAGUUAUAAUCUGGAACGUCUGGAACAAUAUACUUUUACGUGUUGAUGUACAACUGAUGAUGAGCCUGAUGCUGACUCUGAUGCGGAUGCUGCAGCGAGUGUUGAUGCUGGUGCUGAUGAGGAUGCUGAUGCUGC